rnacentral:rRNA from 1 species
UACGGAGGGUGCAAGCGUUAAUCGGAAUUACUGGGCGUAAAGCGCGCGCAGGCGGUUUAUUAAGUCAGAUGUGAAAGCCCCGAGCUUAACUUGGGAAUUGCAUCUGAAACUGGUUGACUAGAGUCUUGUAGAGGGGGGUAGAAUUCCGUGUGUAGCGGUGAAAUGCGUAGAGAUGUGGAGGAAUACCGGUGGCGAAGGCGGCCUCCUGGACUAAGACUGACGCUCAGGUGCGAAAGCGUGGGGAGCGAACAGG